UAUGUCAACUGGAAUAUGUAUAAGUUUCGGAGGUUGAGCUUGAUUGUGUGCAAGUAGUUGAUUGGAUUAAGGGUAAAUAGUCUAAUGGUGAGAUGGGGCACAUUAUUGAGACUCUUGCUCAGUAUUAAGCUAGAUAAAUUUUUCAAUGAUCAAGCAUUGCAGGAAGACGGCUAAUUUGGUGGCUCACGCGAUUGCAAAGACAGUUCAAGGGCUAGGUGUGGAUCAAAUUGUCUAGAGGGAAAUAUCCACUAUUCAUGUGUCAAUUCAAGCUGCAAUUAGGAGUGAUAUUGACAACAUAUGAAAAUAAUUAUCGACAUUAGUUUGGCAAGUUUAAUGGGUACUCUUUUUUUCCUUUUUAUGGGUUUUGUCUCACUGGGUUUUCCCAUAAAUAGGUUUCUAACGAGGCUCAGUAGAUUCUUUACAAUGUGAG
rnacentral:lncRNA from 1 species